ensembl:lincRNA
AAAAGACUAACGAAUAGAUGUUAAACCACAGUUCUAACUGCCAGCGCUGGACAUGGGUUGGUCUUUACAUGCAUUGGCUGAUUUAACCCUCCAAAUUGAUAUCAUUAAUUCAAUUUUAUAGUUGAGGACAUAGAUGUAGUGUGAAAGGCCAAAGAGCUAAGGAGUGGGAUUUGAGCCUAGAUUUAGACCUAGGACUAUUUAUUUAUUUAUUGCAUUUUAUUUUUUCGGUUCCGGGGAUUGAACUCUGGUCCUUGCUCUUGCGAGGCAGGCGGCGGAGCCGCUGAGCUAAAUCCCGGCCCUGAGGACUAUUUUAAAUCAAUCCCUGCGCCUCAGACCACUGACCAGGAAUCCUUGCGCCAGGCGUUUACAGAAACUGUGGGCCCCUCACACCCAGGAGAGGCUCCCGGGCAAUUCCAGGGUCAGCCUCGGGUCUGUGGCCCCCAGGGCGUGGCCCCCGGACACGGGGGUGGCAGGCAGACGCUGAGGUCGGGGAAAGGGCGCCCCUGCCCUUGGGCUCCGCCGCGCUCAGCUUCCCGGGCCUGGCCGCCGACCGUGCGCUUCCACUGAGGCCCAGGUCAGGCGGGAAAGACGCGUGUUCUGCGAGGGCGCCCCCUGGGGGAGGAGUGAUUCUUCUCUCCAGCUCGGUCCUCAGCCUCUGUUCAGCAUCUCCUCUCCCUUCAGGUCUGGACUGGUGACUUUUGUGUGGGUCCCUUCGGGCGCCCUCCGGCUGCCCACGGGGUUUUCCCGGGCCGAGCUUCCGGGUCCUCCUCGUGGGAAGGGGCAGGACGACGCGGCGGACCGGACCUCGGACGGAGUGCGAUCCGGGCCUGGUUUGCUUCCACGCGGCUCCUCCGGUGGCUUCUCCCCCCACUCGUGCUGUGGUCUCUCCCAUCUGCUAAGGACAGAACUCCCUCCGCCGGUGAAUACCUGUAAACAUUCUAACUGGACUGACAGAAGGAAGCUGAAAAGACACCCGCCCACUGAAGCCAUUUCCUCAAACCUCAGAACUCUACAACUGUGUGAAGGAAAAGAGGAGCCUAGAAAGAAUCUCUAG